rnacentral:rRNA from 1 species
AGCUCCAAUAGCGUAUAUUAAAGUUGUUGCAGUUAGAACGCUCGUAGUCGGAUUUCGGGGCGGGCCGACCGGUCUGCCGAUGGGUACGCACUGGUCGGCGCGUCCUUCCUUCCGGAGACCGCCUCUGUUCUUAACUGAAUGGGUGCGGGAGACGGAUCGUUUACUUUGAAAAAUCAGAGUGUUUCAAGCAGGCAGCUCGCUCUUGCAUGGAUUAGCAUGGGAUAAUGAAAUAGGACUUUGGUGCUAUUUUGUUGGUUUCGAACACC